AACGUAGGACGCGAGCGUUAUCCGGAGUUACUGGGCGUAAAGCGCGGGCAGGCGGUCUGACAAGUCUGAUGUGAAAUCUCCCGGCUCAACUGGGAGGGUGCGCUAGAAACUGGAAUGCUAGAGGAUGGGAGAGGUAAGCGGAAUUCCUGGUGUAGCGGUGAAAUGCGUAGAUAUCAGGAGGAACACCUGUGGUGUAGACAGCUUACUGGACCAUUUCUGACGCUGAGACACGAGAGCGUGGGUAGCAAACAGG
rnacentral:rRNA from 1 species